UUUCCGUAGGUGAACCUGCGGAAGGAUUAUUACUGAGUGAGGGCCCUCUGGGUCCAACCUCCCACCCGUGUUUAUUGUACUUUGUUGCUUCGGUGCGCCCGCCUCACGGCCGCCGGGGGGCUUCUGCCCCCGGGUCCGCGCGCACCGGAGACACCAUUGAACUCUGUCUGAAGAUUGCAGUCUGAGCAUAAACUAAAUAAGUUAAAACUUUCAACAACGGAUCUCUUGGUUCCG
rnacentral:misc_RNA from 1 species